GACGAACGCUGGCGGCGUGCUUAACACAUGCAAGUCGAACGGAAAGGCCCUGCUUUUGUGGGGUGCUCGAGUGGCGAACGGGUGAGUAACACGUGAGUAACCUGCCCUUGACUUUGGGAUAACUUUAGGAAACUGGGGCUAAUACCGGAUAGGAGCUCCUGCUGCCUGGUGGGGGUUGGAAAGUUUCGGCGGUUGGGGAUGGACUCGCGGCUUAUCAGCUUGUUGGUGGGGUAGUGGCUUACCAAGGCUUCGACGGGUAGCCGGCCUGAGAGGGGGACCAGCCACAUUAGGACUGCGGUACGGCCCAGACUGCUACGGGGGGCAGCAGUGGGGAGUAUGGCACAGCAGGGGGAGGCCUGAUGAAGCAGCGCCGCGUGCGGGAUGACGUCCUUCGAGUUGUAAACCGCUGUCGCCUGUGACGAAGCGGGAGUGACGGUAAUUGGUAAAGAAGCACCGGCUAACUACGUG
rnacentral:rRNA from 1 species